GGCCUUUCUAGGAGCCAGCUUGCUUUCAUCUUACUGUUUUGAUUGUGCCUCACAAGGGACAACACUCCGAUUGUCUAGGAGGAGGAAGGUCAGGGACAGAAAAGUAAAAGCCAGGAGCAGCCUGUCCUGUCUGCCUGGGCUGCUGGGGAAUGAUUGUCAGUGAAUCGAGUUGUCUGUGGAGCCCCUGAGCAAAUUCUCCCAGUGGCAGCAGAUCUCGCAAAAGGGGAGGAAGGCCUUCACCGCUGAACCCGAGCUUUGCCAUUUCGAAGUGCUGAGUCACCUCGUCCUCUCAGGGUCAGACACUUUCACGCAGGAAACGUCCUGCAGAGCACCGCAGCGGGAGCACCGAGCUGGGUGGUAAUUUAUUCUAGAACCGAUGUGCCAGCGUUUCCUUCUGUGUGCUUUGAGUAGGAGCAGGAACAACGGAUCUCUCCAAGCAUGGGCAGACGGAGAGCUGCAACCCUUGGACCAACCAACGCCUGCCAGUGGGCGCCUGCAUCCCACGCCUGCAUCCCGCGUGCAGGCUACUGGCAGGUGCUCUGUGUCUCACUCCAUCUUUACCUGCCCUGUAAAGGAGGAACUGUUGUUUUUAGUCUCCUGGAGCAGCCGCGCCUUCCCACAGCACUCAGACUUGAGGAAGCUUAAGAAGCUGAGACCAGAGAGGGCGAUGUCCACCUUGGUGACGAAGCACUCUAGAGGCUGCCGCCACACUUAAAAAGUGACCAGUCACCAACAACUCAUCUUAAGUACAGGAAGAAUGCCAGCAGCUGAAUGAAAUUCUUGCUUUCCCUGGUGAACAACGAAGGGGAAGGGAAUGGAGUGUGGUGAAAGAGAGGGCAGAAAGGCUGCCAGUGUCCUCUUCAUCCCUGCCCCACCCCCACCCCCACCCCCCAGCACAGAGAGACCCGGGAAGAUUUCAAAUCUUUCCUUUAAGUGGCGGCUAAGGACAAAAUGAAAUGACUUAGCCACCUAUCAUGGUCUUUACUGAGUUAUAUCCAUGGAUAUAAGAUAAUUUGGCAUCUAAAAAACAAAGACAGGGCCAGUAAAAUGGCUCACUGGGUAAAGGUGCCCGCUGCCAAGCCAGAGCACCUGGGUUUGGUCCUUGGAACUCACACGGUGGGGAGAACAGAUCCCUUCAUGCUGUGUGCUGAUGCCCACAUGCAUGUUAGGAAAACACUUCCAGCCCCCUAAACUAACUUUUUCUAUUCCGUACUCUGCCUGUGACUAGACCUGGAAGGAGAGAACAAGGGCCUUCCUGAGGCAGGACAAGGACCCAGAACUACCCAGAAUGCAGCAGGGCGGCCCCGCACGACUGAGCUCUGAUCCUAACCUGCAAAGUGAAGUUUCAAUUUCCACUUCCUGAGAAGAUGUGGAAACUCAGAGAGGAUGCCACUGUUUUGAACUAUUUUGAAGGCACAGCCACCAGAGCUUUAGGGACAGGGUAUUUUAUCACAGCAACAGAAAUGAAACCAAAACAACUCCACAAUAAAAUUCUUGAGUUUCUUGGGGCCAAGAAGAUGACACGAUAAGAUAAAGACACUGGCCAAGCAUGACCUCCAGAGUUUGGCCCUUGCAUAAAGGAGAAAAUUAAUUCCUUCAGUUGUUCUCUGACCUCCACAUGCGUCCUGUAACAUGGGUGUAUGCAUACACAUAAACACACAUCCACACGUUGUUAAAUAAAUAAAAAAAAUAUGUUAACA
rnacentral:lncRNA from 1 species